AAAAGGUAAAGCUACGACAAUGCAUACCAAAACCUAAGCUCAACCUCACCUCCUCUCCCUCUCAGCCGCCACCCCUUCCUCAGCCUUCCCCAUUUUGUUCUUCAAUCAUCGUUAAAUCGGUGCCUUCUCUCUUCCCAGUUAUAUUUAUAUCUCUAUAUUUUAAGGUUUUUGAAUCUCCUUAUAUCUAUUUGACUUAGAUUUCUGCGUUAAAUUUUACAUUGAUGAGAACUUGAAAAUUACAAAGUUGUAAUGUUAGGGAUGAAGAUCUCUUAAGGAGUUUUCUAAAAAGUGUACAAAUUUGUCUGCUUGUGUUGUUCUUUGAGUAUUUCUAUUUUGUUAUUUGUUAAAAAUUCUUGUAAAAAAACAUUUUUAUAAAUUAAACUUUCAUCUUUGUAUCAUAGUUUUUCUUGGGGUUGUUCAUCCUUUUUGUGCUAAUUAUUAUUUCUUUUGAAUUUACAGGGUGCAUUUAAAUUCUUCAAUGCAAGGACCGAAGCUAUUUCUUCCUUGAGUGCAAUCGGAGCAGCAACAUUUUCAAUUCCCUAAUCAAAUACUUAGGGAUCUCCCCCCCCCCCCCCCCCCGGAAUUUUAUAGAUUAAAGAAAAAAUAUCUAACCCAAUGUACAUAGUUUGUACUAUUAUUUUAAUUUGACAAGAAUUUUAAUUUGAGUUCAUCUUAUUGUUUAGCCUCCCAAUAGCUAGUUUUUAUUCUACAAACUUUAUUAUGUCUCUUGUAGAAGAGUUGUAUCAUGUAUGUAUAUUGAGAAUGCAUGAACUUUAAAUAUAUA
rnacentral:lncRNA from 1 species